rnacentral:rRNA from 1 species
AACGAACGCUGGCGGCAGGCCUAAAACAUGCAAGUCGAGCGGGCAUAGCAAUAUGUCAGCGGCGGACGGGUGAAUAACACGUGGGAACAUGCCCUUUGGUACGGAACAACUCAGGGAAACUUGAGCUAAUACCGUAUGUGCCGGUAACGGGAAAGAUUUAUCGCCAAAGGAUUGGCCCGCGUCCGAUUAGCUAGUUGGUGAGGUAACGGCUCACCAAGGCGACGAUCGGUAGCUGGUUUGAGAGAACGAUCAGCCACACUGGGACUGAGACACGGCCCAGACUCCUACGGGAGGCAGCAGUUGGGAAUCUUGGACAAUGGGGGAAACCCUGAUCCAGCCAUGCCGCGUGAGCGAUGAAGGCCCUCGGGUUCGUAAACCCCUUUCGGCAGGGACGAAGCGAACGUGACGGUACCUGCAGAAGAAGUCCCGGNUAACUACGUGCCAGCAGCCGCCGUAAG